CGACAAUUUUUUUGAACUAGUUUCGUGUAAGUAGGUCGUACAUAAACGAUAUCUGAAAUGUCUGUUCCUUUUGAAAUAAUUUACUGUUUUUAUGUUUUGAUUUUCACAACAGAAUGAUGCGUAUGACAAAACAACACCUGGUUGCAUAGUCAAGUUGAAGUGUAAAUAAAGCUCAACUUUUUUAGAACUUAUUCGGUAUUAUCAAUUUUCGUUUCUUUUAUUCGCUCUAUAGUGUAUUGCUUCGUCUUAAGAUUGAACCUUUCCAAUUACCGAGUUCAUCACCUCUACAUUUAUUGUAAAAAAGUAAUUGUACUGCAAUCUCUGACAAGCCAUCAUGACAUACUGACCUUUCAAUUACAUCCAAAAUUCCCUUUAGCUUGUCUUUGUUUGCUUCUUAAUGGAUGAUUUGAUCUACAAAAGAAAACGAAUCAUUAUUGGUAAAUUAAAUAAACAUCAGCAGCAUUCACGGAGCAAUUAAGAUACACACUGCCAACGUCAAUUACAAUAGAUUAAUGUCAAUUGCCUUUCUUUAGA